AGAGUUUGAUCCUGGCUCAGGAUGAACGCUGGCGGCGUGCCUAAUACAUGCAAGUCGAGCGAACAGAUAAGGAGCUUGCUCCUUUGACGUUAGCGGCGGACGGGUGAGUAACACGUGGAUAACCUACCUAUAAGACUGGGAUAACUUCGGGAAACCGGAGCUAAUACCGGAUAAGAUUUUGAACCGCAUGGUUCAAUAGUGAAAGACGGCCUUGCUGUCACUUAUAGAUGGAUCCGCGCCGUAUUAGCUAGUUGGUAAGGUAACGGCUUACCAAGGCAACGAUACGUAGCCGACCUGAGAGGGUGAUCGGCCACACUGGAACUGAGACACGGUCCAGACUCCUACGGGAGGCAGCAGUAGGGAAUCUUCCGCAAUGGGCGAAAGCCUGACGGAGCAACGCCGCGUGAGUGAUGAAGGUCUUCGGAUCGUAAAACUCUGUUAUCAGGGAAGAACAAACGUGUAAGUAACUGUGCACGUCUUGACGGUACCUGAUCAGAAAGCCACGGCUAACUACGUGCCAGCAGCCGCGGUAAUACGUAGGUGGCAAGCGUUAUCCGGAAUUAUUGGGCGUAAAGCGCGCGUAGGCGGUUUUUUAAGUCUGAUGUGAAAGCCCACGGCUCAACCGUGGAGGGUCAUUGGAAACUGGAAAACUUGAGUGCAGAAGAGGAAAGUGGAAUUCCAUGUGUAGCGGUGAAAUGCGCAGAGAUAUGGAGGAACACCAGUGGCGAAGGCGACUUUCUGGUCUGUAACUGACGCUGAUGUGCGAAAGCGUGGGGAUCAAACAGGAUUAGAUACCCUGGUAGUCCACGCCGUAAACGAUGAGUGCUAAGUG
rnacentral:rRNA from 1 species